GAAAUUGGGCAGACCUGACAUAGAAAGCAGGGCUCUGGAGUGGCUCCGGUACACAAAGCAUCAUUAGGAUUAAGAUUUGUGUCUGAAGUCUGCUGAGUUCUUCCACUUCAUUAUACCAGCUGUUCUUCACCUGCCAGCAGGGUCUCACACCCACAUCUCUUCCCCAUGCCUGCCAUCCCUGGAUCCUCCUUGCUCUCAGCAGUUUGGAGUUCAAAUGCAGUAAAACUAUGGGUGCUA